rnacentral:rRNA from 1 species
UACAGAGGGUGCAAGCGUUAAUCGGAAUUACUGGGCGUAAAGCGCGCGUAGGUGGUUUGUUAAGUUGGAUGUGAAAUCCCCGGGCUCAACCUGGGAACUGCAUUCAAAACUGACAAGCUAGAGUAUGGUAGAGGGUGGUGGAAUUUCCUGUGUAGCGGUGAAAUUCGUAGAUAUCGGGAGGAACACCAGUGGCGAAGGCGGAGACCUGGGCCAAUACUGACGCUGAGGUGCGAAAGCGUGGGGAGCAAACAGG